rnacentral:lncRNA from 1 species
GGUGGUUGCUCUGCCAUGGAGGAUGGAGUUAUCCUAACUCGUUGUCUCGGUGAAGCUAUAAAAGCUAAGGAUCUGAAAGGUGAAACAGGAGAUGAAGACGGGAGUUAUAAGCGGAUUGGUGAAGGUUUGAAGAAGUAUGCAAAAGAAAGGAAAUGGAGAAGCAUUGAUCUGAUAACUACAGCAUAUAUUGUAGGUUUCAUACAACAAAGUAGAGGGAAGUGGAUGAACAUGUUCAGAGACAGGUUCUUGUCGUCUUUCCUUUCUCGGUUGCUGCUGAAAAAGUCUCGUUUCGAUUGCGGAAGCCUUCGCUGUGAUUCUCAAUAAGCGAGCAGGAAUGGUGUAGCUUAGCCAAAGACUUGUGCCUAAAUCUAAUGAACGUUAAGCUAAAUACCAAUUUUCACAUAUGCUUCAUCUAAAUCCUUGCUAGAAACGAAUAAUAAAGCUAAAAGGCAUGUUUUGAAAGCAAACAAGAACCAUGAGGAGUCAAGUAACCAUAGAUACAAAACAAGAGAAAAGAUGCUACUGGACAGUGUGCUAUACACUUUGUAGCAGAGUGUUGGAUAAAGCAGACCAAGAAAAGUCUCAUUGUAAUAUACGAAUUAUAUGAACAGCUCAUCCAGAAAUGGGGAGAGGAAAGCCAAAUAAAUCUACUUUGAAAGUGUGAGAUCGAUCACACAAGUAUUAUCAAAACAAGUCUAUGAUGUUGUUCAAGUCUCAAACUUGUGAUCAUGUAAAUAUAUGUCAUAAUCUUGUGACAUGAAUUAUGAUUAAUUCUAACCACAGAAAUUAAUAAACGAGUGAUUGGUGUUCUCUAAACGCAUAAAGCAGAAAGUAAAAGAGUAAGUAGGAACCUACCUUGCUCAUACGAUGUGGUGGAGCUUAAGGGC